UACAGAGGUCCCAAGCGUUGUUCGGAUUCAUUGGGCGUAAAGGGUGCGUAGGCGGCGCGGUAAGUCGGGUGUGAAAUCUCGGAGCUUAACUCCGAAACUGCAUUCGAUACUGCCGGUGCUUGAGGACUGGAGAGGAGACUGGAAUUUACGGUGUAGCGGGUGAAAUGCGUAGAUAUCGUAAGGAAGACCAGUGGCGAAGGCGGGUCUCUGGACAGUUCCUGACGCUGAGGCACGAAGGCCAGGGGAGCAAACGGG
rnacentral:rRNA from 1 species